rnacentral:rRNA from 1 species
ACGAAGGCUUCGGCCUUAGUGGCGCACGGGUGCGUAACGCGUGGGAAUCUGCCCUCAGGUUCGGAAUAACAGCGAGAAAUUGCUGCUAAUACCGGAUGAUAUCGCGAGAUCAAAGAUUUAUCGCCUGAGGAUGAGCCCGCGUAGGAUUAGCUAGUUGGUGUGGUAAAGGCGCACCAAGGCGACGAUCCUUAGCUGGUCUGAGAGGAUGAUCAGCCACACUGGGACUGAGACACGGCCCAGACUCCUACGGGAGGCAGCAGUGGGGAAUAUUGGACAAUGGGCGAAAGCCUGAUCCAGCAAUGCCGCGUGAGUGAUGAAGGCCUUAGGGUUGUAAAGCUCUUUUACCCGGGAUGAUAAUGACAGUACCGGGAGAAUAAGCUCCGGCUAACUCCGUGCCAGCAGCCGCGGUAAUACGGAGGGAGCUAGCGUUAUUCGAAAUUACUGGGCGUAAAGCGCACGUAGGCGGCUUUGUAAGUUAGAGGUGAAAGCCUGGAGCUCAACUCCAGAAUUGCCUUUAAGACUGCAUCGCUUGAAUC